rnacentral:rRNA from 1 species
AUGCUGUCGGCUGGCGUCAAGUUCGAUCCCACGGAUCAGGAGCUGAUCGAGCACCUUGAGGGCAAAGUGAGUGCUGAUAGCGCGAGAUCUCACCCUCUCAUCGAUUUGUUCAUACCAACCAUCGAGCACGAGCACGGCAUUUGCUACACGCAUCCUGAGAAACUUCCAGGUAUCACACUGAGUGGCCUAAGCAAGCAUUUCUUCCAACGCAACUCCAUGGCGUUCAAAAGGGGCACAUGGAUAGGUCGCAAGAUACAGUCGGAGUGCGGCAUGCACGCAAUGUGGCACAAGACCGGCAAUACCUUGCUGGUGAUGGGGAUCCAUCCGGUUUCACAGGCUGAUAGUUGGAUGCAGCACAUCGGAACUGGGUUGUGGCAUGCCAAGCCCAGCUGCAAAUUGUUAAAAGAGAGGAGCGAUGGAUUUGGGCCUUCCAGAACAGUUAAGUGCCGCGACCUCGAUCGUGAAGCGCCUCCCAUGGACUAA